rnacentral:misc_RNA from 1 species
AUUCAGUCUACAGAACAAUUAGACCGGUUCUAGCUCACCGCUAGACGUUGUAAAAUUUUCGGCUAAAAUCCCUACCGUGAUGACUACGAACCUCUGAUUUAUUCUACAAUCAAGCUGCUAAAAAUGGGUGCAAUCGUUGUACUGUAUCUGUGCGCUGUACUGUGUGCAAGUGUCGGUGGUGUACAAGGGAUGUGCAAACAUGUGGAAAACGACGAUAUGAUAGAAUACAUCUGCGAAGGUGGCCAACUUUCCGAUCUAAAUUAUCUUCCCCCGACAACCGGGAAAAUUCGCAUUUCCAACAUGCCCAUGCAACGAAUAACCGUGAACACUUUUGCAAGGUUCGGUUCAGAACUUUGGGUUCUAGGUUGUUCUCAUUGUGGCAUUGUGGAUAUCGAACCAGAUGCUUUUCGACAUUUGAGCAAUCUUCAGCAACUAAGUUUAAACAACAAUCACUUGACUACCGUGAAGGAAUCCUGGUUCAAAGGUUUAGAUUACUUGACAUACUUGGAUCUAAAUUACAACAGUAUUUCAUCAAUCGAGAAUGGUGUAUUCAAAAAUCUACCCAGUCUGGUUGAUUUAAGACUAUCUGGUAAUCGUUUAGAAUGCUUGAACCUUGCAGCUAUGUCCCAGCUGAAAGAUUUAAAGAGAAUAUUCCUGAGUGAAAAUGCGGAAUUCAAAUGCCCUAACGCUGUCAGUGCCUUCCUCGAGAGUCGUGGGGUUAACUUCGAAAAGGAUCCAGAAUGGUCUAAACUACCAACCGAUUUAAUUCCAGCAGAAACUUCAUCCAACUACGAUUACUACGACGAAGUAGUUCCUGUAAGCGAACCGCAACCUGCCUAUCGUGAACGAUUGCAUCCUACACCCAUGACACUAUCAUCCACUGUGGCAUCGACGAUAGCACAUAUUCUACCUAUGUUUUACACAACUGAAGAAGUAGUGUACCCUCCAAUGCACACCUCCAAUGUAGACUCAAGAACAACAUCCAGACCAUCGACAAUCCCCUAUGAAGAGCCAGAAGUUACGAGUCUAACAUACGACACAGCAAGAACACCCUAUGUUCCACCAAGAACCAUCGCACCAAUAGAGUCGACGACAUAUUCACCGCGUGAGACGGUACAGUACAGCACAGGUAGCCAAGAUGUAACGACCUUGAGAUCUUGGCCGAGAUUCCCGGAAUCCACCAGUGCCAGGACCGAAUACCCGAUCUAUCCUCCCCAUAGAAACCAGGACAAACAUUACACAGAACAGCCGGAUUAUUCGGGCUCAACAGAUUCGUUCCUCUUGGCAUCGAGCCCAGGCGAGCGUCAUGAAACAACGGAGCUUGACGCAGAAAGUAUCAUGAAUUCCUUCGUGACUGAGGGGCUAGAAAGAAAUACCGUAUCACCGAAUGUAGAAUAUACACCUAGGAUCGAAAGCAGAGGACCGGGAUAUCCAGAUCCAGUGACUCCUUCAGACACAAAUCUCAUCAUACGACCUAUCCAGCCAGUGACGCCAACAAUGGUCCACCCCGCUCCGCUAGAUAACGUGUAUCAGUCGCCUUAUUACGAGACCACGGUCACUGUCCACUCACCGCCUUUGGUGGCUAAUCGACCACAGCAAGGGGAAGUAACUCCGGGAAUCAUGCCAAUUGAAACGACUACCGAUAAACCAUUGCCCAAGUGUGAAAAUUUAUCGUCCUCGAGCCAGGGCUCCCUAGCAAUGAUCAUGCUUUCCGUCUUCCUUGCGAUCAUGCACCGUGUCCUUGUGGAGGGAUUUUAGCUAGAAAUUUCACUCAACGCACAACUCUCAUCUUUAAUCCGAUCGAACUUUCGACAACGGGCAAUCUGUAUCGACCAAUCCAACGUUUGCGCGAACCUGUGCGGGCACCAGCGUCGAGCAUGGAACGUAGACCUAAAUGGAACGGCGUCUCUGGAAUCAUUUAAUCGCAUACCUUAGACCGAGUGACCGAAGUACGGCCAAUUUCGUCGUUUUCACUUCCGAGGGCAGCGUGGAAGACUUCGUCAACGAGAUACGCUAUCAGAGGAAGCAACCUAAACAAUUGAUUCUUCAGAAGCACCACGGAGCCUGCAGAACCCACAGCUUCUGCACGCUCUAGAACGCAUCGCGAAGACAUGCAAGAUUGCUUGCCAAGGAGGAA